rnacentral:rRNA from 1 species
CCUACGGGCGGCAGCAGUGGGGAAUAUUGCACAAUGGGGGAAACCCUGAUGCAGCGACGCCGCGUGAGUGAAGAAGUAUUUCGGUACGUAAAGCUCUAUCAGCAGGGAAGAAAAACCGGCCUUAGGGCCGCCAGACGGUACCUGACUAAGAAGCCCCGGCUAACUACGUGCCAGCAGCCGCGGUAAUACGUAGGGGGCAAGCGUUAUCCGGAUUUACUGGGUGUAAAGGGAGCGGAGACGGCAGCGCAAUGCUGGAGUGAAAUGCCGGGGCCCAACCCCGGAACUGGCUUGGAAACUGUGCAGCUGGAGUGCAGGAGAGGUAAGCGGAAUUCGUAGUGUAGCGGUGAAAUGCGUAGAUAUUAGGAGGAACACCAGUGGCGAAGGCGGCUUACUGGACUGUAACUGACGUUGAGGCUCGAAAGCGUGGGGAGCAAACAGGAUUAGAUACCCUUGUAGUC